rfam:Ricinus communis cultivar Hale ctg_1100012361286, whole genome shotgun sequence.
UAUCCAUGGUGUGGGUAUUGUAAUAAAAGUAAUUUGAAGCAAUACCAUGCUUUUGUGAGAGGACUCAAUAUCCUUUUGAUAAAAAAUAGAGAUUUUAGCUCUUUGGUC